rnacentral:lncRNA from 1 species
UUAGAAUCUGGGAUUCCUUCCUUUUCUAACUCUAUGAUCUGUGCUUUGUGCCUGGGACCCGCAGAGGAAUUUAUCUCCUGAUGCAGAGACUUUGCCAUCAUACCCAAGUAUGUGAAGCCAGAUUUGAGCCUAGAUCUUCCUGACUCCAAGCUCAAAGUUCUAUCCAGUGCACUACCUGGCUUUUGGUUUGUUUAUCCAUGCCAGAACCCCAGCACCAGUGAGCUGUUGAAGGAGGGAAUUGCCCAGGAGAGCUUGGGGAGUAUUAGACACAGGAUGGAAGGAACAGCAUGAGAAAAGUCAGAGAGGAGGCUGAUUGCUUAGUUGAUGCAUUAUGGGGAUUGGGAAUUCACACAAUAGGGUGAGGCUGACUAUUGAGGACUUUAAGCUCCUUGGGGACUCACUGGAGAGCUUUAUCUUCAACAAAUCAAAAUUGUGGCUGACCCAAAGGGCAAUGGAGAUACACGUGGUGAUUGUAAAUAGACUUUAGCAUAUUGCUGGUGAUGACUUGCAUGAAGGAAAUGUAAAAAUACUGUCCAAAGGAUGCAUGAAUGAAAAAAGGAGGUUUACCAGUUGUGGAUCAUGAUCAAGGUUUGAUGAAUGGAGGAACAUCAUAAUGGAGAAGAAUCUACACAGUAACAGCAAUAAUGUACAGAUUAUCAAUUGGGAGAGAGAGUCUUAGGAACAGUGACCAACCCAAUGACCAACCACAAUUCCAAAGGAUUCUUGAUGAAACAUGCUACCCUCCUCCAAAUAAAGAGCUGACAGACUCAAAGGGCUGACUAAAG